rnacentral:misc_RNA from 1 species
AUUGAUAAAGUUAGUCUCCAAAGCAAGGAAAUCUUAAAAGUAAGAGCUGCACUGGAGGAAAAAUUAAAACAGAAGGGAGUUUUUAGUUCCUUUGCUUCAAAGCUUAAGAAAGCAAAGAAACAUGCAAAAUCAGUGAACUGACAAUUUGAAACAUAUGAUGAUUUCGAUUAUGAUACUUUAGAUGUUGAGAAACGAAAUCAUGGAUUGAGAAAUGGGCAUACAAGCUUGUUGAGUUCAAAUAAAUUCUCACAGCUUUUUCUGCUAAACCAAAUAAACCCAAGGUCAUUUAUGGUGACGAGGAUUUACCUAAGAGAGAUGAUAUUGGAAAAAGAAGAAGGAAACUCAAAGUUUUGGCAGGUGCAGGAAUCAAGUCUGAGGAUGAUCCUGUAAAUAAACAGGGCACAUUUGACCCUGAUGAAGCCUCUGGCAUGGAAGAGGAUAGUGAUGCAGGAGUUUCAGAAGAUGAAUUCUACAAAGAAACAAAGCAAAAGAGGGAUGCAAAAAUAGCUGCUAAAGCUAAAAUAUAUAUACAAGGAACCCAGCAGUCCUAUUUUUGCCUGAAAUCGUUGAUGGAAAACGGCAAAUCACUUAC